GCGUUAUCCGGAUUUAUUGGGUUUAAAGGGUGCGCAGGCGGGAGAUUAAGUCGGCGGUGAAAUUUUGCAGCUCAACUGUAAAAGUGCCUUCGAAACUGGUUUUCUUGAGUGUAGAUGAAGUAGGCGGAAUUUGUGGUGUAGCGGUGAAAUGCAUAGAUAUCACGAGGAACUCCGAUUGCGCAGGCAGCUUACUAAGCUACAACUGACGCUCAUGCACGAAGGCGUGGGGAUCAAACAGGAUUAGAUACCCUGGUAGUCCACGCAGUAAACGAUGAUUACUCGCUGUUUGCGAUAUACGGCAAGCGGCUUAGCGAAAGCGUUAAGUAAUCCACCUGGGGAGUACGUUCGCAAGAAUGAAACUCAAAGGAA
rnacentral:rRNA from 1 species